CUGAACAGACAUGCUUCCUUCCCUCAUGGAGUUUAUAUUGCAAUUGAAUCUGGUUCCGAGACCUUCUGAUUCUGAUUCAGCCUUCUAAGUUCAAACCAAAGCAGAGCAUUUUCAACUUCUUUAAUGAGAAGCAUGUUCAGCCAGCAAAGAAGAAGAAGAAAAAUGGUUAUAGACAAGCAACCAACAGUAUCUGCCAUAGCUAUUUUAUAGCUGUUUAAACUUGGCUGGGGGUGAAAGAUGCCCUUCAGUGUCCCAAAUGAGAGAAGAGAAUUUUAAUUGGGAGUGGCCAAGGUUCACAAUUUCAGCCUGGAGGAAAGUAAAUUAAAGAGGGAAAUUUGGAUACACAAAGAGAUGCCAGGGAUUAACCUACCCAGAGGAAAGGCCACGUGAGGACACAGCAAGAAGGUGGCCGUCUGCAAGCCGAGAGAGGCCUCAGAAGAAGCCAAACCUGCU
rnacentral:lncRNA from 1 species